rnacentral:rRNA from 1 species
AUUGAACGCUGGCGGCAGGCCUAACACAUGCAAGUCGAACGAGUGGCGGACGGGUGAGUAAUGUCUGGGAAACUGCCUGAUGGAGGGGGAUAACUACUGGAAACGGUAGCUAAUACCGCAUACCAUCGGAUGUGCCCCGAGGGGAUUAGCUAGUAGGUGGGGUAAAGGCUCACCUAGGCGACGCUCCCUAGCUGGUCUGAGAGGAUGACCAGCCACACUGGAACUGAGACACGGUCCAGACUCCUACGGGAGGCAGAAGUGGGGAAUAUUGCACAAUGGGGGCAAGCCUGAUGCAGCCAUGCCGCGUGUAUGAAGAAGGCCUUCGGGUUGUAAAGUACUUUCAGCGGGGAGGCGUUACCCGCAGAAGAAGCACCGGCUAACUCCGUGCCAGCAGCCGCGGUAAUUC